GACGUAGGGCGCGAGCGUUGUCCGGAUUUAUUGGGUACGGUAAAGAGCUCGGUAGGCGGCUUGUUGCGUCAAGCGUGUGAAAACCCGCAGCUCAACUGUGGGCUUGCAGCUGAUGACGGGCAGGCUUGAGUUCGGUAGGGGAGACUGGAAGUUCCUGGAUGUAGCGGUGAAAUGCGCAGAUAUCAGGAGGAACACCGGUGGCGAAGGCGGGUCUCUGGGCCGAUAACUGACGCUGGAGGAGCGAAAGCCGUGGGGGAGCGAACAGG
rnacentral:rRNA from 1 species